rnacentral:rRNA from 1 species
UCUCAGUUCGGAUUGGAGUCUGCAACUCGACUCCAUGAAGCUGGAUUCGCUAGUAAUCGCGCAUCAGCCACGGCGCGGUGAAUACGUUCCCGGGCCUUGUACACACCGCCCGUCAAGCCAUGGAAGCCGGGAGUGCCUGAAGUGCGUGACCGCAGGGAACGCCCUAGGGUAAAACCGGUGACUGGGGCUAAGUCGUAACAAGGUAAC